GGAUGUGGGGCGAUCUGGCUGCCACAUCUGUCACCCAGUUGAUCGACAGGGUUGAUUGGGCUGAUAGACUGGCUAGGCUGAUGUCCCCUUUCUCCCUCACUCCUCAUGUGCGCCCCCCCCCCCAAGCUGAGGGCCCUGUCUUUGGUCAAGGGGAUAGGAGUAGCUGUGGUCCCCUGCUAGAACCUCCAAACAAGCUCUCAAGGUCCUGCCUCCCUCCCUCUCUCCCU
rnacentral:snRNA from 1 species